rnacentral:misc_RNA from 1 species
UCUAAGGAGAACCCGAAUCCGCGUCCGAGUAAAUCGGACUACGCUGGCUAGACCAGCACCGGAUUCUAACUCCUAUGGUCGGUACAUUAGGCAUGUUACGUCACACUGUUUAGUUUUCAGGGAUCAGCUAAGAUCCUUGAUAGGCAAGUGCCGUGGGCUUGUAGCUCAGGUGGUUAGAGCGUACGCCUGAUAAGCGUAAGGUCGCUAGUUCGAGUCUAGCCAGGCCCACCAUUAUUCAAGCCCGUGGGGGUGUAGCUCAGCUGGGAGAGCACCUGCUUUGCAAGCAGGGGGUCGUCGGUUCGAAUCCGAUCAUCUCCACCAAAGAGUUACUCGUUGAGAACAUCGCUCGACAGAGCGGUGUUUCUUAAACAGAUGGCAAGUACCCGGCUCGGGGAACGCCUCGGCACCUUGAAAAUUGCACAGUGGAUUUUUCCGAAAGUCAAGGUAACACUUGAAAACUGCAAGUGACGUACCCUUCGGGGUGCGGCACAGGUAGGAGAAAAGAGUUGCCUAGGAUUCUGGCGGAAAGACGGUUAAGCUACAAAGGGCACAUGGUGGAUGCCUUGGCGCCAAGAGCCGAUGAAGGACGCGGUUAACUGCGAUAAGCUUCGGGGAGCCGUAAGCGGGCUUUGAUCCGGAGAUGU